CUUCUACCAGUUCUACAUCAGCACCAUUGGCCUGUUUAUUGCGUUAACUUUGGCCAAUCACGGAUUGAUGUGCUUGACUCAAUGUUGUACACCCCUGAGUCUGACAACAAUUGGGACAAUUAUCAUUUGGAAUUUGGGAAAAAAAUCAUGCACCGACUAAGUGAUGCUCUCUCCAUUGCUGCACCUCUCAAAUUUAAAUCAUUCAAGAACUGGAGACAUGUCCCGGUCAAGGUUCCCGUCCAGAAGGCCACGUCGGACAGUGCAUUCUUUGCCAUGAAGUUUCUCGAGUUCUAUGAUGGUGAUGGCCAUGGCUCACUACACACUAGCAUCGCUGCUGAACGAUCAAAAGAGUUGCGUGCUGAGACCUUGUAUUACCUCACUUUUCAUAAGCAGAACAAGGUUGUGGCGCUGCCCGACGAAAUCCUUCAGUACCGUCGAGAUGAUCAUCACCCUUUUUUCUAUUAGUUUUUUUUUGUUCAUUACAACCCUUUACUAUUUAAUUUUUAUUCUUUUGUAGCUGUGCAUAUUGUACAUUCUCAUGAUUCAUAUAUGAACUAUGCUUAGUUUUGUGACUGACA